rnacentral:rRNA from 1 species
UACGUAGGGUGCGAGCGUUGUCCGGAAUUAUUGGGCGUAAAGAGCUCGUAGGCGGUUUGUUGCGUCUAUCGUGAAAACCUGCAGCUUAACUGUGGGCUUGCGGUGGAUACGGGCAGACUUGAGUUCGGUAGGGGAGACUGGAAUUCCUGGUGUAGCGGUGAGAUGCGCAGAUAUCGGGAGGAACACCAGUGGCGAAGGCGACUACCUGGCCUGUUCUUGACGCUGAGGCGCGAAAGCUAGGGGAGCAAACGGG